AUAGUUAUGGACAUCCCUAGGCUCUACCCACGAUGUUCAGGUAUCCGCCUAUCGUGGACUAGAUGCUGACAAAGCAGUAUCACCCUUGGAGACACUGAGCAUAACCCCCAUACCAGAAUACCCUUUGGACUCCGAGCAUAUUGAUGACACGAUAAAUCGAUACCGGCGCACAGUAACACCGACCAUCCAACGCAACCCAGAACAACCAGGCCAGUUGCCAUCCGGUGAACUUUUGCUGACAUCGAGAAAGCAUCGAACUCAAUCGGAGGACACAGGUGUGCCCUCGGUCUGGUCUGGCUCGAUCAGUCAGUUGGAAGUGAACGUUUGAAUCGAUAGGUCUAAUAGAAACGAAGUAGUCAGUUGAAAGCCCUUCUGGCCCAGAAUAAGUGUUAGGAAGUGUGAAAUGUAAAAUUAUAAACAAGAACAUAAUAAAAGUGAUGGGAUUAGUGUAAAUUUGAAACAAGUAGUUUUUUAAAAACCCUAAUGUGAAGUCCCGUCCAUUUUUGGCGCAGUCGUACGGAACACUCUACGUGCAGUGCUAGUUUUUGGAAGACAAUCUAGUGACAAAACCCGAUCCGUGGUAAUUGGACAGUAGUGCGAAAACCGAAAAUUAGUGUCGAAUUGACGACAUCGGACGUGCCGGUAACCAAGGACUAAAAGUGUAACUGACUUGCGCAGGAUUCAGCAUUAAGUAGACGCUUAGCCCAACCCGUGGCGAAGCAAGAAACUAGUGACUAUCUCCAGCGAUCAUCAGGAACCAGGCUCUUGGAAACCAUCCCUCAACCCGUAGGUGAUUUGCGCCGCCCGACACGAAAACUGCAUCGGUGGGUUUCAACCCUUUAAGAGUGUCGAACCCUCGAAGAUGACACACAAACACCCGAUACUUUUUUGUCUUACAAUUAUGAUGUUUUUCAAUCCUAUUUACUCUGCUUACUUGGAAAUCCUUGAACUUAAUGAAAAUCCCGGUAUAGUUGCGUUCAAGACUAAUUCA